rnacentral:rRNA from 1 species
UACGGUGGGGGCAAGCGUUGUUCGGAAUUACUGGGCGUAAAGGGCUCGUAGGCGGCCAACUAAGUCGGAUGUGAAAUCCCCAGGCUUAACCUGGGAACUGCAUCCGAUACUGGAUGGCUUGAGUCCGGGAGAGGGAUGCAGAAUUCCAGGUGUAGCGGUGAAAUGCGUAGAUAUCUGGAGGAAUACCGGUGGCGAAGGCGGCAUCCUGGACCGGCAUUGACGCUGAUGAGCGAAAGCUAGGGGAGCAAACGGG